UACGUAGGGUGCGAGCGUUGCCCGGAUUUAUUGGGCGUAAAGGGCGCGUAGGCGGCCACGCACGUCCGUUGUGAAAUCGCCCGGCUCAACUGGGCGGGGUCAGCGGAUACGGUGUGGCUAGAGCAAGCUAGGGGGCAAUGGAAUUCCCGGUGUAGUGGUGGAAUGCGUAGAUAUCGGGAGGAACACCGAUGGCGAAGGCAGGUCUCUGGGCCACUACUGACGCUGAGAAGCGAAAGCAUGGGGAGCGAACAGG
rnacentral:rRNA from 1 species